AUUGAACGCUGGCGGCAUGCGUAACACAUGCAAGUCGAACGGUGUUUGGUGCUUGCACCAGACAUAGUGGCGGACGGGUGAGUAAUGCGUAGGAAUCUGUCUUAGAGAGGGGGACAACCCGAGGAAACUUGGGCUAAAACCGCAUAUUCUCGAGAGAGGAAAGCAGGGGACCGGAAACGGCCUUGUGCUCUAAGGUGAGCCUACGUCGGAUUAGCUAGUUGGUAGGGUAAAAGCCUACCAAGGCGAUGAUCUGUAGCUGGUCUGAGAGGACGGACAGCCACACUGGGACUGAGACACGGCCCAGACUCCUACGGGAGGCAGCAGUGGGGAAUAUUGGACAAUGGGGGAACCCUGAUCCAGCGAUGCCGCGUGUGUGAAGAAGGCCUGCGGGUUGUAAAGCACUUUCAGUGGGAAAGAGAAGCGUCUUGUGAAUAAUGGGACGUGGAGACGUUACCACACGAAGAAAGACGACCGCCGUAACUAACUUCGUGUCCGACGACG
rnacentral:rRNA from 1 species